GAUGAACGCUGGCGGCGUGCCUAAUACAUGCAAGUCGAGCGAAUGGAUUAAGAGCUUGCUCUUAUGAAGUUAGCGGCGGACGGGUGAGUAACACGUGGGUAACCUGCCCAUAAGACUGGGAUAACUCCGGGAAACCGGGGCUAAUACCGGAUAACAUUUUGAACCGCAUGGUUCGAAAUUGAAAGGCGGCUUCGGCUGUCACUUAUGGAUGGACCCGCGUCGCAUUAGCUAGUUGGUGAGGUAACGGCUCACCAAGGCAACGAUGCGUAGCCGACCUGGGAGGGUGAUCGGCCACACUGGGACUGAGACACGGCCCAGACUCCUACGGGAGGCAGCAGUAGGGAAUCUUACGAAAUGGACGAAAGUCUGGCGGAGCAACGCCGCGUGAGUGAUGAAGGCUUUCGGGUCGUAAAACUCUGUUGUUAGGGAAGAACAAGUGCUAGUUGAAUAAGCUGGCACCUUGACGGUACCUAACCAGAAAGCCACGGCUAACUACGUGCCAGCAGCCGCCGCCG
rnacentral:rRNA from 1 species